rnacentral:lncRNA from 1 species
UUUGGCUAACAAGACACACUCACCAUCUACUAGCAAUGCAAGUAAAGAAAAUUGCCAAGAUUGGAGAGAGCACCAAGGACUCUUCCAACACUUGGUCUUAAUGGCCUUUUACAAGAAAACAAAGGAAACUAAAUCUAAAACAGACUACACAUUCAAAACUCCAAAAGAUCAAGCCACAAUACUCUGCUGCUCCAUAUGUGCACUGCUUGAACUUGUCCAGCUGCAUCCUUGCUUGUUUUGAUCAUUCAACUCUUAUACAUU